rnacentral:ncRNA from 2 species
CGAUUAUUCCGUGGUGAUUUGAGCCGACCGGCUUGCGGCCACGUUAAACAACUCGCUAAAAGGUCGGUGUUCGGUUGAU